rnacentral:rRNA from 1 species
GUUACAGGCUUAACACAUGCAAGUCGAGGGGCAGCAUGGUCUUAGCUUGCUAAGGCCGAUGGCGACCGGCGCACGGGUGAGUAACACGUAUCCAACCUGCCGUCUACUCUUGGACAGCCUUCUGAAAGGAAGAUUAAUACAAGAUGGCAUCAUGAGUCCGCAUGUUCACAUGAUUAAAGGUAUUCCGGUAGACGAUGGGGAUGCGUUCCAUUAGAUAGUAGGCGGGGUAACGGCCCACCUAGUCUUCGAUGGAUAGGGGUUCUGAGAGGAAGGUCCCCCACAUUGGAACUGAGACACGGUCCAAACUCCUACGGGAGGCAGCAGUGAGGAAUAUUGGUCAAUGGGCGAGAGCCUGAACCAGCCAAGUAGCGUGAAGGAUGACUGCCCUAUGGGUUGUAAACCUCUUUUAUAAAGGAAUAAAGUCGGGUAUGGAUACCCGUUUGCAUGUACUUUAUGAAUAAGGAUCGGCUAACUCCGUGCCAGCAGCCGCGGUAAUACGGAGGAUCCGAGCGUUAUCCGGAUUUAUUGGGUUUAAAGGGAGCGUAGAUGGAUGUUUAAGUCAGUUGUGAAAGUUUGCGGCUCAACCGUAAAAUUGCAGUUGAUACUGGAUAUCUUGAGUGCAGUUGAGGCAGGCGGAAUUCGUGGUGUAGCGGUGAAAUGCUUAGAUAUCACGAAGAACUCCGAUUGCGAAGGCAGCCUGCUAAGCUGCAACUGACAUUGAGGCUCGAAAGUGUGGGUAUCAAACAGGAUUAGAUACCCUGGUAGUCCACACGGUAAACGAUGAAUACUCGCUGUUUGCGAUAUACUGCAAGCGGCCAAGCGAAAGCGUUAAGUAUUCCACCUGGGGAGUACGCCGGCAACGGUGAAACUCAAAGGAAUUGACGGGGGCCCGCACAAGCGGAGGAACAUGUGGUUUAAUUCGAUGAUACGCGAGGAACCUUACCCGGGCUUAAAUUGCAGAUGAAUUACGGUGAAAGCCGUAAGCCGCAAGGCAUCUGUGAAGGUGCUGCAUGGUUGUCGUCAGCUCGUGCCGUGAGGUGUCGGCUUAAGUGCCAUAACGAGCGCAACCCUUGUUGUCAGUUACUAACAGGUUCCGCUGAGGACUCUGACAAGACUGCCAUCGUAAGAUGUGAGGAAGGUGGGGAUGACGUCAAAUCGGCACGGCCCUUACGUCCGGGGCUACACACGUGUUACAAUGGGGGGUACAGAGGGCCGCUACCACGCGAGUGGAUGCCAAUCCCCAAAACCUCUCUCAGUUCGGACUGGAGUCUGCAACCCGACUCCACGAAGCUGGAUUCGCUAGUAAUCGCGCAUCAGCCACGGCGCGGUGAAUACGUUCCCGGGCCUUGUACACACCGCCCGUCAAGCCAUGGGAGCCGGGGGUACCUGAAGUGCGUAACCGCGAGGAGCGCCCUAGGGUAAAACUGGUGACUGGGGC